GCCUGAAAUUUUGAAAAGAGAAAAGAGAUUGCUCCAGUAAAAAGAAAAAGCCCUAGUAAAUUCGCCGGGCUUCCUUCUCUGAACAAAUUGCUGUGCAGCGCCGCCUCAUUCACGCCUGAAUCGCCAACGCUGGACUUCUCCGAUUGUCUAAUUGUAUUCGCUGAUUAAGCGAAAACGAGGUUUGUUAUUGGAUUGAAAGAUGCUGAGCUCUACUGUUGUCAAGAAAUUGAAGCCUUUGGCCUCAUCCUUGGAUCAUUCUCUAAGCUACCAGCUCCUUCAGAGAUGCUCUGUCAGUGGCACUGCGAAGGGGAAGGGUAAGAUCAAGACCGGGCAGCCGUUGAAGCGAUCGAAGGUCACUACGAAGAAGGGGACACCGCCCGAUCCAUCUAAGAAAGAAGGGCCGAGGAAGAAGAGCAAUUUUGAUGAAAUGGUUGAGCAAUGUUUGACUGCCACUGCACCACGGAGGUUCUUGAAGCCCAAAGAGAAGGAGAGGGAAGCCGAGCGAGAGAUGAUGGGGCUCGUAAGUAAGGCGAACGAGCAGGCGAAAGAGAAGCUAAAGAAACAAACCGAUGAAUUUGUUUCACCUUGGGCCAUAGGAACUUCGGGUUUGGAUUAUAUUAGUUUAGGGUUAGUUGAUGCUGAUAAGAUCCCGAAGUACGAUCUGAGUGUUGAGGAUGGACGAAGGCUUGCGAAGGAGUAUAGUAGGACCUUGAUGAGGCAGCAUAGAGCAAGGCGGGCGGCAGAGACGCUGCUGUUGCAGUGUAAGAAAGAAGCAAUUGAGGCAUUGCCUGAGCAUCUGAGAGCAGCUGCUUUAGUCCCGGAUUUGACUCCUUUUCCAGCGAAUAGAUUUAUGGCAACACUGACCCCACCAAUUGAAGGCUAUAGUGAGAAGAUCAACGAGGCAGCACGGAAGAGUGUUGAAGGGAAGAAGCGUAGAUGAUAAGAGGCUAGUCGACCUCAAAGUUUGAUGGAAUGAAUAAUUUUGAGCUUGUGAUUGUCCGAUUCUUCAAAUUCGCAAUCAGGUGAAGCUUCAAUGCCAGUUUGCAGCUUCAGUUUGUGGUGGUCUUGGGCUUAUGAUAUGAUGACUAAAUUGUUGCAGCAUAUGCAGCUUUGGUUAGUUAAGUCACAUUUUGGUUGGUUGAUAGUUGUUGCUUGCUGCAAAUAAGAAUCUAGCAGUAGUCAUGUUAGCAAUCUCCAAUGGCUCUUUUGACUAGUAUUUCAAAUCAUUGUGGAUCCUUUAUUUCAUUCUUGGAUCUUGGUUUGCUUGCAUGGGAAUUCUUGGUUGUUUUGUUGUAUGUAGGGGAUGAGUAAUCGUACAAAUGAAGGAAUGGGAAGAAAACACCUCCUUUUGCUUUCA